rnacentral:tRNA from 1 species
AGUGGUAUAGCUCAGUGGUAGAGCACAUGCUUAGCAUAUGAGGUCCUAGGUUCAAUCCCCAGGACCUCCA